GGGCAGGCCAUACGGACGCCAAAAAGUGUCCCUGGCCGCCUACACCCACUAUACAUCCACAAACCCGUGUGCACUGUCUUGGAGAAAGGCUUCAGAGAAGUUUUUUGUGGCCCCUCUUGGGGUCUUUCUUCGCUACAAACUCGAAUGGUUAGUAUGAACGUGGAACUUGGUUGGACCGUCACUGGCCAACAAACUAUACACAACUUUCGACAACGGAUCUCUUGGUUCUCCCAUCGAUGAAGAACGCAGCGAAACGCGAUAGGUAAUGUGAAUUGCAGAAUUCCGUGAAUCAUCGAAUCUUUGAACGCACCUUGCGCUCUAUGGCAAUCCGUAGAGCAUGCCUGUUUGAGUGCCAUGAAAUCUCCCACCCCAAGCGGUUUUUAAAUGAAACGGCUUGGCGGAUGGGGUCUGGAUGGGUGCCUCUGCCUGCGCUACCUAGCACAGGCUCGCCCGAAAUGCAUGAGCGCCUUGAGACACUUUGCAUCCGCCUCUCUGUUUGGGAGGAGGCGGCCAAGCAGUGUUUUUCUCCUGGCAUGGCAUGAUACGUCAUUUGCUAUGUCGCCUAAGGAGGA
rnacentral:sRNA from 1 species